GCGGGGGUUGUAGAGCCCGGCCAAAUACGCGGGACUUAAGAUCCCGUCCCUCAGGGGUCCGUGGGUUCAAAUCCCACCCCCCGCA
rnacentral:tRNA from 4 species